UCACAUAUCUUCUUUUUUUUGCUCGAUUUUGUUCAGAUAUCUUUUGCUUUCGUAAAGUGCCUGCUAGUUCCUCUUAUUUAGUGAUUUUCUUUUUUUCAAAAGGAGUAAAAGCAUAAACAUAUAUAUGUCGUCUAAGAGAGAAAAUAGAAGAUCUCAGAGGCCGGAAACUCUGAUGAACUCAUCCUCAGUGCAAGAUUCCUGUUAUCGAACUAUAAUCGAUUACGCUGAGCGUACUGAUAAGGAUGUCAAGAGAAAGAUGAAUUCAAUGAACCUGAAGUUGAUGGACAUAGAGAGACAAAUGGAAGCAGUCGAAGCAGAAAUUAGCAAGGCCGCUUACACAUGAUAACUGCUUCUAUCGACCUAUUUUUGAAGAAAACAUGCAGAAAAUGUCACUCUCUUUUUGGCUUGUUAAACUUGUAGCAUCAGAAUCAGGUACAUGUAGUCUCACAGCCACAAGGCUGACGCCGAACACCUAGUCAGACUAAAUGGAGUAGCAAAUAUGACAUAUUGACAUUUAUUUAUAGAUUUUUUUACUUUUUUUAUUUUUUAUUUUGCCCUUCUUGUAAUUUGUUGAGCUUCCAAUAAAUUUAAACUUUACUACCGGAUACCGAUUCUGUGCACGGUAUCGGUAAACAUGGGUAUGGUUCAAUGUAAUGGAGUAUGGUUGAAAACAUAGGUUUUGGAUCACCCAAAUCAGCUUCUCAUUUGGCUGUUGUACAA